AAAGAGAUCCCCCGCUGAGUGAACCGCCUGGUCUACUUCAGCUCGUGCAUCCCCUUCCUUCAGAGCUGCCUCCCCAAGGAGUGGCUGACCCCAGCAGCCCAGCAGAGCCACAUCAGCCUCAGCCUCCGCAAGGAGGAGCAGGGCGACACAGCAGAUGAGGAGCCCCUCAGCCACGUUGUGAACCUGUAGACAUACCUGGGUCUAAACUGUGCCCACUAUGCCCUCAAAUAACCCCUCUCCCCCUUUCUCUUGUAGUAUUUUUUUCUAUGUCUGCUGCCCUCUCAUCAGCUGAAUCCCAAAGUACCCACAGAACUUCUACCAUAUCCAGUGUCCCCAGUGUAAAGCUUCAAGGUCGGUGCGAUUACUUGGCUGUUCUCUUUAGUUGUUACAGUGACACCUGAUGGUUUUAGCCUUAAGAGAAGUCCGAGACAUGUUCCUGGAGAGAGCAUUCCUCUCUUGAAGCAAGGCAGGAACACACAGGUUUAUGCACUGCUAUCCAGACAGCUGGUUUUGCUUUUUUCCCCACAGGACUGAGUUAUAAAUGUCUGCUUUAAACCUGUUAAAGCUAAAAUCUGCAAGCUGGGAGGUGGAAUCCCAGACGAGCUGAUACAAACAAAUCAAACUAUAUAGGAGAGAUAAUUAAAAUCAGUAUUCUAUGAUCCACAUCUGCAUCUAUGAGAAGCUCCAAAAUUAAGCUCAGACACCUUUUGGCAGCUGGUUGCUCCAGAAAACCAUGAGGAGCACCGUUCUGCGCUCUGGGGCAGCACAGUUGUAGGAUGCAUUUAGUUAACGUUGAUAUCUGAGGUGUCUUUGCUCACCUGUCCGAGGGAUCUGUGGGAAGCCUUCAAUGAAAGCAGCUCUUCUAAUGAGCUGUCUCAAGUUGUGUUUUGAAGAUUGCAACCCAAAAGUAGAGCAUUUUAGUUUUUUAUGAGGACGUUUAGGGAAGUUUCUGGAUGUAGUCAUGCAGACAGAGCUUUGUUCCAUGAAGGCUCGCUUAAGAAAUGCUAUACCUUCCCCACCCUGGUUUGGAAUCACUUUGGUUCAGUGCCGUUAUCUGGAAUAUGCAGUUUCUGCAUUGUGGCAAUCUGGGAACUGCUAAAAAGUUACAUGCGUUUAGCUACUGCAUGUUCCUGAGGGUAAUACAAACCCCAAGCAAGGACUGCAGGAGUCCUAGGGUAGCACAGUGACAACAAGGAGCUGGCACUUGCAUCCCCAAAAGCAGAGAAUCAAUGGAGCAACUGUAGAGAUUGCUUCCAGCGAUAGCUGCAUGAAGAGAAGCAGCCCAGUGUUAAAGUUGUCGAGGUGCUUUAAGGGCCACAGCAACCACUUGCUCCUGGUAGCUUACAGAGAAAAAGAUGAAGAAAAGAAAAAGGCCAGUUUUCCUUGUGUGCUCCUGCGUGAGAGGGAUGAGAAGCAGAGGAUUUAGUGGGUUACCUCUGGGGAUGAAGGGUGGUCACGUCCCUGUGCUGCUUUCACAGUGUUCUCGCCAUAGCCUAAAAUGACUUUGCACAACUCCCUCCGUGUAAAUAUCACUUUGUAGGUAGUGAAGCCAUAAAUGGAUCUAACUGAAAUUCUGAUACCACAAACUAGAGACUAUUUCACAACAAAGCGUUUAUCCUUUGUGUACCCUGUGAAGUGCCACAAAUUUUG